UCUUCCGAGCUCAACUUUCUCAUGAUCAAACCUCACUAUUAUCCUAAUAGGAACAAAUAUUGUAAUCACAGCUCUCUACUCCCUAUAUAUGUUAAUCACGACACAACGCG